UUGACCUCGGAUCAGGUAGGGAUACCCGCUGAACUUAAGCAUAUCAAUAAGCGGAGGAAAAGAAACCAACAGGGAUUGCCCUAGUAACGGCGAGUGAAGCGGCAACAGCUCAAAUUUGAAAUCUGGCUCUUUCAGAGUCCGAGUUGUAAUUUGCAGAGGGCGCUUUGGCUUUGGCAGCGGUCCAAGUUCCUUGGAACAGGACGUCACAGAGGGUGAGAAUCCCGUACGUGGUCGCUAGCUAUUGCCGUGUAAAGCCCCUUCGACGAGUCGAGUUGUUUGGGAAUGCAGCUCUAAAUGGGAGGUAAAUUUCUUCUAAAGCUAAAUAUUGGCCAGAGACCGAUAGCGCACAAGUAGAGUGAUCGAAAGAUGAAAAGCACUUUGGAAAGAGAGUCAAACAGCACGUGAAAUUGUUGAAAGGGAAGCGCUUGCAGCCAGACUUGCUUGCAGUUGCUCAUCCGGGCUUUUGCCCGGUGCACUCUUCUGUAGGCAGGCCAGCAUCAGUUUGGGCGGUGGGAUAAAGGUCUCUGUCACGUACCUCUCUUCGGGGAGGCCUUAUAGGGGAGACGACAUACCACCAGCCUAGACUGAG
rnacentral:rRNA from 1 species